rnacentral:lncRNA from 1 species
UGGAUUGGGGAUAAGGGGUAGAAUAACCCUUUAUCUCCUUUAUACUCAAACACUAAUUUUUUAUUUCGAGAAUAGUAAUUUUUGAAUAUCUAAAAUAAGCUGGUAUAACUAUUCCCAUCAACUCUUCCAUUUUCUAUAUAUAGUUAACCCACUAUUUUUCUUAUUCUAUAUUAUCUAUUCAAACACUAUUUUUCUUAUCUUCGAGAACAACCCUAUUUUUAUUCAAACGCUAUUUUUCUUAUCCACAUACUUAUAACUAUUCCUGUUAAUAACUAGUUCUUAUUUAUAUCCGAAUCAAACGGUGCCUAGCUAAAGUUCAAAUCUUUCAAAAUAGUUUUUUAUACGACAAUAUUAUUCAC